AUGCAGUCGAGCGGUAAGGCCUUUCGGGGUACACGAGCGGCGAACGGGUGAGUAACACGUGGGUGAUCUGCCCUGCACUUCGGGAUAAGCCUGGGAAACUGGGUCUAAUACCGGAUAUGACCUCCUAUCGCAUGGUGGGUGGUGGAAAGAUUUAUCGGUGCAGGAUGGGCCCGCGGCCUAUCAGCUUGUUGGUGGGGUAAUGGCCUACCAAGGCGACGACGGGUAGCCGACCUGAGAGGGUGACCGGCCACACUGGGACUGAGACACGGCCCAGACUCCUACGGGAGGCAGCAGUGGGGAAUAUUGCACAAUGGGCGAAAGCCUGAUGCAGCGACGCCGCGUGAGGGAUGACGGCCUUCGGGUUGUAAACCUCUUUCAGCAGGGACGAAGCGCAAGUGACGGUACCUGCAGAAG
rnacentral:rRNA from 1 species